AUUGAACGCUGGCGGCAUGCUUUACACAUGCAAGUCGAACGGUAACAGGCUGCCAGGUGCUGCCGAGUGGCGGACGGGUGCGUAAUGCAUCGGAACGUGCCCAGUCGUGGGGGUUCGCUACUCGUAAGGGUAGCUAAUAUCGCAUACGAUCUCUGGAUGAAAGCGGGGGACCGUAAGGCCUCGCGCGAUCGGAGCGGCCGUUGUGAGAUUAGGUAGUUGGUGGGGUAAAGGCUCACCAAGCCACCGAUCUGUAGCUGGUCUGAGGGGUCGACCACCCACACUGGAACUGAGACACGGCCCAGACCCCGACGGGAGGCAGCGGUGGGGAAUUUGGGACAAUGGGCGCAAGCCUGAUCCAGCAAUGCCGGGGGCAGGAAGAAGGCCUGCGGGUGGUAAACUGCUUUUGUACGGAACGAAACCGCUCUGGUUAAUACCCGCGGCUAUGAACGGUACCGUAAAAAAAAGCACCGCCAAACUCCUG
rnacentral:rRNA from 1 species